rnacentral:rRNA from 1 species
CCUACGGGAGGCUGCAGUGAGGAAUAUUGGUCAAUGGACGAGAGUCUGACCCAGCCACGUAGCGUGAAUGAUGACUGCCCUAUGGGUUGUAAACUUCUUUUAUAUGGGAAUAAACUGUUCCACGUGUGGGAUUUUGUAUGUACCCUAUGAAUAAGGAUCGGCUAACUCCGUGCCAGCAGCCGCGGUAAUACGGAGGAUCCGAGCAUUAUCCGGAUUUCUUGGGUGUAAGGGGAGCGUAGGUGGAUUGUUCAGUCAGUUGUGAAAGUUUGCGGCUCAACCGUAAAAUUGCAGUUGAAACUGGCAGGCUUGAGUACAGUAGAGGUGGGCGGAAUUCGUGGUGUAGCGGUGAAAUGCUUAGAUAUCACGAAGAACUCCGAUGGCGAAGGCAGCUCACUGGACUGCAACUGACACUGAGGCUCGAAAGUGUGGGUAUCAAACAGGAUUAGAUACCCUGGUAGUC